ensembl:lncRNA CASC15 cancer susceptibility 15
CAGAGAUCAGAAGUAGACUUCAGAAUGUACUAUUCAAAAAAGGAUGCAAUGGAGAACAUUUACAGAGGACUGUGGGUAAAGCAAAGUCUUCAAGGGAAGAUAACAAAGGAUGAAACAAUGGUGUUGUGUGACUUCCUAGUGUGAAUCAUGGCAAUACAGUGAAAGACAGUGAUUUACUGCUUUUGAGGGCGUGCAUGUAUAUGAUUAACGGAUGGAAGUGCAGGACUCCAAGAUUUACUUCCUUCCCUUUCCAGCAGAAUUACCUGAGACGAGUAAAAUCUACUGGUGGAGUCACUCCAUUAUUCUUAUCUGUGGAGAUCUAGAUCUUGAUUUGAAAGUUUCUGAGAAAAUCUUCAGCUCAGACUUGAGGGUCAACUUUACCAGCUGAAGGAUCUGCAUUUACUGCUCAACCACAUCUAAUUUGAUGUCCUCUGCAGAUUUAAAAUGUGUGCCUUCUUUUCCGUCACCAAGUCAUCCCUGGGUUACUACUGAACAUCCUUCUCAAUUCCCCCCGACCCAUGGAUGGCUGUUCUCCAUUGUCUGUUUCACCAGAUGUCCUCAAAACAAACAGACAGAAGAAGGAAGUGGCUAAUGACUUUUUUCUACCCAGGUCACUUAAUACUCAAAGACUGCAAAUUCCUUUCCUACUGCUGAUGUGGAAGAAGCUUGGAAACAUGUUCCUUUCCAGGAGAUAAGUGAUACGGCAGAAAGACGGGUCAGAUGAGGCCAAGGGAUUGGAGCCAGAGUCUUACCAAACUCGCAGGCAGCUUGUGACUGCGGGCAUGCUGUGCUGAUGGAGGAGGGGAGGCCUGGGGGCUCCAUGCUGUCGGGAUUCCUCCCUUGAUAAACAGAGUCAAGGAGCUGUGGAGUCCAAGUGUGACUGCCAAGAGGAAUCCAGCAAAGCCAAAAAGCCCAAGCAUGUAGCCCUGCCCGAAGCACGCCACACGCAUGGAAAACCCAGAGGAAAUGAGUGAGGAUCAAUGGGAAGAAGAGAGCCAGCCAGGAAGUUGAAGAUUUGUCCAGGAGCAGAUAGCUGAAGAGAGAGAGAGAGAAGAGAGAACGGCUUACAGCUCAGUUCUGGAGACCAGAAGGCCAAAAUCAAAAGUAUGGGCAGGCUUGAUUUCUUUAGAAGACUCCAGCGGAGAACUGUGUCUCCUUGCUUCUGAUUCUACAUCUCCAUCCAUGGGCCACUGUUUCAGCAACCUCAGCCAGUGCAACACAACCUCAGCCAAGAAGAGUAUGCAGAGAAAGGAGUCCCCUACCUGCCACAAAACUGUUGUCUGAAAACUGUCUCAUAUUGUCUCAAGUUGUCAUUCAUUGUGAAUUAGACCUGUUUAACAUGUAAUCUGCAACAUGC